UCUUGCCAGUAGUAGUCAAAUACCAUCCAAACAAAUCCAAUAUCAACAUUGGCCGAGGACUCGCUGCUUUUAUCGAUCUUUUUGAUACUUCCGUGCGCUCGGUAAUGAACUAUCGUCUACCGUGUCAUGGUGCAGCAUCCGUGAGACACCGAGGACCUGGGAAGAAGCACCACCCAGGAACCGUUCUGAUGUUUACAUUUCGUCGCCCAAGCUCCGGCAUAAAUCAAAGGGCUCUGCAUACGAGUAACUACUAGCAGCUGCCAGGCCUCUGAUUGGAUUCCUCCACUGCUACGGUGAAUGGUAGAACUUCCUUAUUUUUUCAACACCCCACUUCCAGGCUCCGCAGCUACAUAAAUAAACGUGCUGGGCAACGAACGUGCGACAAAAUAAAUAUUAACAGUUCAUCUUCGCCAUCAGCGCAUUUCCACCCGGAAGCGAACCGGGAUGGAACCGAUUUCCGGCACCGAUCGGUUACUGGCAGCUGCUGGCUUUUCGGUCCUUUCUUCGCAUUUCUCAACAAGCGCCAGCCGAACGAGUUUAUGUUCGGUAGAAUAAACGAACGGAAGAUGCGCCAAGACCAUCAAAUCCAAGCUAUUCCCAAUCUGAUUUGACGUAUUCGGUAACACCUCAACCGAGCGAUGCUUACAAACGCCCUUCACUUGCCAUUCCUUGCAUCGAUGCGAGAAGAAUCAAGAUUUCGUCUUGAUCCAAUUGCAGGCAAUGAUGUGAUCUUGUUCGAAUAUUCAAUUCAGGACGCAACGUCCAUGGGCACAUGGUUCUUCCAGGUGCGUAAUGUUGCUUCUAACGGGCGGACGGUUUGGCAGGUUCAACCUACAAAAAGGAUAUCCCUGCAGGGCUUCAGAAACCCAAAUACACCUACAACAGCGCUCGCUGCCAGUUACCUCAUCGGGUCGAGAAAUUAAAUUGCUAAUUUUAGGUCCGAAAAUGCCCUCCAGGGAGCAACAGAGCGAGAUAAUACCUAGCAAACCGGUACCAGCGAUGAUAAAGAAGCAGCCACUCCCGCCACAACCCACUUUCUUCCGGCCGUGGUCAUGGUCGUUCGAUGUGCAGGAUAUGGCACUGAAAUGUUAAGAAAAACACACACAAACGUUCCGGCAUUGCAGAGACAAAACGAAAGACCUUUAAAUCUACCGCCAUCGUCGUGAAGCCCCAUCGCAUCGAAAUCGAAAGCAAAACUGCAAAGAAACGUCCCGAACGACCCGAAGAAUCUAACAGACGCAAGCAAGAGGCAGAGGUGAUGUAGAAGAGGCGUACGGGCAGAAGGCAGCAAAGGCAAAGCAAAAAGAACCCCGACUGAAAGCCAAAAGGAACCUGCCCUGCACGCGUGGAAAAAGCAUACAGCCGAGCCCAAUAUGGAAAUCGAAUUCAAUUAAAAGCGCUCCUGCAUAAUUCAGUUUCAAACAUUGCUGCUGCCAUCAUCUUAGGGGCCGCGCCGCCGCCGUCAACAACCCACAAAAGAGUAUUGGCUGACCUUACUCGCUUGGAGAAGACAAAAAUGCC